rnacentral:lncRNA from 1 species
CGAGGGCCCUCCCCUGCCCUGCACACGUGGUAUUUCACUAUCAGGUAUGAAUGGGGGUGGGGACCUCUGAUGGGCAAGGGUGGGGGACAGCCAAGUCCUGAAUCCUUCGUGUGUGGCCCAGGCAGGGCGUGAGGAUGAGCUGACAAUCACGGAGGGUGAGUGGCUGGAGGUCAUAGAGGAGGGAGAUGCUGACGAAUGGGUCAAGGUGGGUAUGGGACCCCGGGCUCUGACCUUGGGUUGGGGGCAGUAGGAGGGACUUCUCUGUGGCCUCCAUAGACCCUUCUAGGCAAAGCUAGAAGCCUGAGUAGAAGAGAGCCAGGGUCAUGGACUGCUGAGGUAAGUCUAAUAUCUGUUCACAUUGCUGGGUGAGCAGGCUCGGAACCAGCACGGCGAGGUAGGCUUUGUCCCUGAGCGAUAUCUCAACUUCCCGGACCUCUCCCUCCCAGAGAGCAGCCAAGACAGUGACAAUCCCUGCGGGGCAGAGCCCACAGCAUUCCUGGCACAGGCCCUGUACAGCUACACCGGACAGAGUGCAGAGGAGCUGAGCUUCCCUGAGGGGGCACUCAUCCGUCUGCUGCCCCGGGCCCAAGAUGGAGUAGAUGACGGCUUCUGGAGGGGAGAAUUUGGGGGCCGUGUUGGGGUCUUCCCCUCCCUGCUGGUGGAAGAGCUGCUUGGCCCCCCAGGGCCACCUGAACUCUCUGACCCUGAACAGACAAAGCCCUGGACUUCCCCGGGUUCCUGGACAUGAUGGCACCUCGACUCAGGCCGGUAAGGACCCUUGCCUUGGAGGAGAUUGUAUGUAGAGGGGUUAUUCCAACCAGUCCUGUUUUGUCUGCAGGGCUGAGGGAAUAGACAGGGAUACCCUUAAGGGAGAACUCUGGAGCACUAACUGUGUGUUCCCUACAGAUGCGUCCACCACCUCCCCCGCCGGCUAAAGCCCCGGAUCCUGGCCACCCAGAUCCCCUCACCUGAAGGCCAGGGAAGCCUUGACCCCCAGUGAUGCUGCUGUCCCUAUCUUCAAGCUGUCAGACCACACCAUCAAUGAUCCAGAGCAACACAGCCAAAAGCUGGAAUCGCCCUUAUUUCCACCCUCACCUCCAAGGGUGGAAACUUGCCCCUUCCCAUUUCUGGAGCUGGAACCCACUCCUUUUUUUCCCAUUGUUCUAUCAUCUCUAGGACCGGAACUACUACUUUCUCUUCUGUCAUCACCCUAUCUAGGGUGGUGAAAUGCCUGAAAUCUCUGGGGCUGGAAACCAUCCAUCAAGGUCUCUAGUGGUUCUGGCCCACCUCUUUCCCCACCCUGGCUCCAUGACCCACCCCACUCUGGAUGCCAGGGUCACUGGGGUUGGGCUGGGGAGAGGAACAGGCCUUGGGAAUCAGGAGCUGGAGCCAGGAUUCGAAGCAGCUGUAAUGGUCUGAGCGGAUUUAUUGACAAUGAAUAAAGGGCACGAAGGCCAGGCCAGGGCCUGGGCCUCUUGUGCUAAGAGGGCAGGGGGCCUACGGUGCUAUUGCUUUAGGGGCCCACCACGGGCAGGGGCCUGCUCCCAGCUGCCACGCUCUAUCACAUGGAGCGAGGUGUUGGGGAAGGCGGGGCAGGCAGCCUGUUGCAGGCAGGGGAAGGAGAAGAGACUGAGGGGCUGUGACCUCUCCUGAGGCCCCCAGCCUGAGACUGUGCAACUCCAGGUGGAAGUAGAGCUGGUCCCUCAGCUGGGGGGCAGUGCUGUUCAGUGGAGGGGAGGGCUUUCACGCCCACCCACCCCCUGGCCCUGCCAGCUGGUAGUCCAUCAGCACAAUGAAGGAGACUUGGAGAAGAGGAAGAAUAACACUGUUGCUUCCUGUUCAAGCUGUGUCCAGCUUUUCCCCUGGGGCUCCAGGACCUUCCCUACCUGCACCACCAAACCAAGGGAUUUAUAGCAAAGGCUAAGCCUGCAGUUUACUCUGGGGGUUCAGAGAGCCGAAAGGCUUAAAUAGUUUAAGUAGGUGAUGGGAAGAUGAGAUUACCUCAUUUAGGGCUCAGGCAGACUCACCUCACAUACUACCUGCUCCCUGUGGUAGAGACACCUGAGAGAAAGGGGAGGGGUCAACAAUGAGAGACCAGGAGUAGGUCCUAUCAGUGCCCCCCAGAGUAGAGAGCAAUAAGAGCCCAGCCCAGUGCAGUCCCGGCUGUGUUUUCCUACCUGGUGAUCAGAAGUGUCUGGUUUGCUUGGCUGCCCAUUUGCCUCUUGAGUGGGCAGCCCUGGGCUUGGGCCCCUCCCUCCGGCCCUCAGUGUUGGCUCUGCAGAAGCUCUGGGGUUCCCUUCAAGUGCACGAGGGGCUAGGCUGCUGUCCCUGAGUCCUCCAUUCUGUACUGGGGGGCUGGCUAGGACCUGGGGCUGUGGCCUCUCAGGGGGCAGCCUCUCCAUGGCAGGCAUCCCUGCCUUGGGCUGCCCUCCCCCAGACCCCUGACCACCCCCUGGGUCCUGUCCCCCACCAGAGCCCCAGCUCCUGUCCAUGGGGGAGCCAUCACGGUGUUCGUGCAGUCCAUAGCGCUUCUCAAUGUGUGUCACCCGGAACCUGGGAGGGGAGGGAACACUGGGGUUUAGGACCACAACUCAGAGGCUGCUUGGCCCUCCCCUCUGACCAGGGACAUCCUGAGUUUGGUGGCUACUUCCCUCUGGCCUAAGGUAGGGGAGGCCUUCUCAGACUGUGGGGCACAUUGUGUAGCCUGACUUCUGCCGGAGCUCCCAGUCCAGGAGGAAAGAGCCAAGGCCCACUUUUGGGAUCAGGUGCCUGAUCAUUGGGCCCCCUACCUCAGCCUCCCUUUCCCUGGAGCACCUGCCCCACCUGCCCACAGAGAACACAGUGGUCUCCCCUGUCCGGGGGCGGCUUUUUCCUUCCUUGGAGCGUCCCUGACGGACAAGUGGAGGCCUCUUGCUGCGGCUGCAAUGGAUGCAAGGGGCUGCAGAGCCCAGGUGCACUGUGUGAUGAUGGGAGGGGGCUCCGUCCUGCAGGCUGGAGGUGGCAUCCACACUGGACAGCAGGGAGGAGGGGAGUAAGGGUAACAUUUCCAUUUCCCUUCAUGUUUUGUUUCUUACGUUCUUUCAGCAUGCUCCUUAAAACCCCAGAAGCCCCAAUUUCCCCAAGCCCCAUUUUUUCUUGUCUUUAUCUAAUAAACUCAAUAUUAAGAUGUUAGUGACCAUAUGUUCUUCCUCCCAGGGCUGUUUGCUAAAAAGAACACUGCUUAACCCAAAGGAGUGGCACUAGAGGUGAAUGUUAGGCUUGAUGAUAUCUAGAUGAGAGAGAUGGUUUGAAGGAAUCGCGAUUUCUACAAAACAACUUUCUUCCUAUAAGUUAGCCAGCUUUGCCCUUCCCCCAACCCCA